AGAGUUUGAUCCUGGCUCAGGAUGAACGCUGGCGGCGUGCCUAAUACAUGCAAGUCGAACGCAUCUUCUUCGGAAGAUGAGUGGCGAACGGGUGAGUAAUACAUAGGUAACCUGCCCCUGUGCGGGGGAUAACAGGAGGAAACUCCUGCUAAUACCGCAUAACCAUGAGCACCGCAUGGAGCUCAUGCCAAAUAUCCUUUCGGGGAUAGCGCAGGGAUGGACCUAUGGCGCAUUAGCUAGUUGGCGGGGCAACGGCCCACCAAGGCAACGAUGCGUAGCCGGCCUGAGAGGGCGGACGGCCACAUUGGGACUGAGACACGGCCCAGACUCCUACGGGAGGCAGCAGUAGGGAAUUUUCGGCAAUGGGGGAAACCCUGACCGAGCAACGCCGCGUGAGCGAAGAAGGCCUUCGGGUCGUAAAGCUCUGUUGUAAAGGAAGAACGUCGUACACAGGAAAUGGUGUGCGAGUGACGGUACUUUACCAGAAAGCCACGGCUAACUACGUGCCAGCAGCCGCGGUAAUACGUAGGUGGCGAGCGUUAUCCGGAAUCAUUGGGCGUAAAGAGGGAGCAGGCGGCCGCAAGGGUCUGUGGUGAAAGACCGAAGCUAAACUUCGGUAAGCCAUGGAAACCGGGCGGCUAGAGUGCGGAAGAGGAUCGUGGAAUUCCAUGUGUAGCGGUGAAAUGCGUAGAUAUAUGGAGGAACACCAGUGGCGAAGGCGACGGUCUGGGCCGCAACUGACGCUCAUUCCCGAAAGCGUGGGGAGCAAAUAGGAUUAGAUACCCUAGUAGUCCACGCCGUAAA
rnacentral:rRNA from 1 species